rnacentral:lncRNA from 10 species
CAGAGAGAGAACGGGAAGAAGAGCAGAGAAACAUGAAGCAGAGCAGAGUGAAACACAGACAGAAAACAGAGACAGAGCAAAGGUAGAGGGAGAGAGACUCAUUGAUAGAAUCAGAGGAGGACUGAAAGACACAGCAGCAGAGACAAUGAGUAGACGAUAAAAAUGCUCAAGCUGCUGCCACCCUCACACUACGCAGCAGGCUUGUUCUUGUUCACUACAGAGCACAGUUGGCAUUACAAACUGAGAAUGUUGGCACGCAGAAGUAGAAUAGCCAUCAAAAGAACAAUUGAAAAACAAACUCAAAUACAGUCACUGGAAUCACGAACGCCAGCAUGAUUAACCUUGAAUGUCAUUCACCUUUGUCCAGUUCUGCCUUGCUGAAGAUAUCCAGAAAGAAAAGCUUGGAAAUGCAGAAUGAGCUCUGCCCUGGGAGUUGUGGUCUCUGGAGAGCCCUAGCUGGAAUUCUGAGCAAAAAUCUGAGUUUUUGCUGUGGACAUCACCAACUAAGGCCUCGGUGGAACAGGCAAAGUCCCUGAUGCAGAGCUUCUCAAAACAAAAACAAAACCUUGGAACUUCCUGAGUGACAGCCGUAACAGGACUGUCCUUUGCUAUUUGAAACAAGCCUCUUUCAAUCGUGCCUGACUUUCUGCUAAUAAGGUGGGACCUGUAAGAGGUAAUUGGCCAUGAGGGCUCCUCCCUAGUGAAUGGGAUUAGAUGCCCUCAUGAGAGGGCUCGACUGAGGGAUUUUAUCCUGCUUGCCCUUCUGCAUUUUGCCAUGUGAGGACACAAUGUUUCUCCCCUCUGAAGGAUGCAGCAAUAAGGUGCCAUCUUGGAAGCAGAGAGCAACCCUCACCAGACAACCAAAUCUGCUAGUGCCUUGAUCAUGGACUUCCCAGCCUCCAGAACUGUGGUAAAAUAAAUUUCUGUUCUUUAUACAUUCCUCAGUCUGUAGUAUUCUGUUAUAGAAGCAUAAAUGGAGUAAGGCAUGCUCUUAAGAUCAUUUGCUAGUACAUCAUUAAAUGAAUACAAUGCACUCGACAUAAGCAUUCAACUUCUGUACAUGUAUGAUACAGCUUACCCUCUGCUGUUAUUAAUAAUCUGCAAUAAAUUUC